GCCGGGGUGACGGAAUUGGUAGACGUACGGGACUUAAAAUCCCGAGAGGCUUUAACUCCUCGUGUGGGUUCGAUUCCCACCCCCGGCA
rnacentral:tRNA from 1 species